rnacentral:rRNA from 1 species
UACGGGGGGGGGCAAGCGUUGUUCGGAAUUACUGGGCGUAAAGGGCUCGUAGGCGGCCAACUAAGUCAGACGUGAAAUCCCCGGGCUCAACCUGGGAACUGCAUUCGUGACUGCAUCGCUGGAGUGCGGCAGAGGGGGAUGGAAUUCCGCGUGUAGCAGUGAAAUGCGUAGAUAUGCGGAGGAACACCGAUGGCGAAGGCAAUCCCCUGGGCCUGCACUGACGCUCAUGCACGAAAGCGUGGGGAGCAAACAGG